rnacentral:rRNA from 1 species
UAGGGAAUCUUCCACAAUGGACGCAAGUCUGAUGGAGCAACGCCGCGUGAGUGAAGAAGGUUUUCGGAUCGUAAAGCUUUGUUGUUGGUGAAGAAGGAUAGAGGCAGUAACUGGUCUUUAUUUGACGGUAAUCAACCAGAAAGUCACGGCUAACUACGUGCCAGCAGCCGCGGUAAUACGUAGGUGGCAAGCGUUGUCCGGAUUUAUUGGGCGUAAAGCGAGCGCAGGCGGAAUGAUAAGUCUGAUGUGAAAGCCCACGGCUCAACCGUGGAACUGCAUCGGAAACUGUCAUUCUUGAGUGCAGAAGAGGAGAGUGGAAUUCCAUGUGUAGCGGUGGAAUGCGUAGAUAUCACGCAGAACUCCGAUUGCGAAGGCAGCAUACCGGCGCUCAACUGACGCUGAGGGCACGAAAGCGUGGGGGAUCGAACAGGAUUAGAUACCC